rnacentral:rRNA from 1 species
UACGAAGGGGGCUAGCGUUGCUCGGAAUUACUGGGCGUAAAGGGAGCGUAGGCGGGUUAUCAAGUUGGAGGUGAAAGCCCAGGGCUCAACCUUGGAAUUGCCUUCAAAACUGAUAGCCUAGAGUAUGAUAGAGGUAAGUGGAACUCCGAGUGUAGAGGUGAAAUUCGUAGAUAUUCGGAAGAGCACCAGUGGCGAAGGCGACUUACUGGAUCAUGACUGACGCUGAGGCUCGAAAGCGUGGGGAGCAAACAGG